UACGGAGGGUGCAAGCGUUAUCCGGAUUCACUGGGUUUAAAGGGUGCGUAGGUGGGUCUGUAAGUCAGUGGUGAAAUCUUCGAGCUUAACUCGGAAACUGCCAUUGAUACUAUAGAUCUUGAAUUUUCUGGAGGUAAGCGGAAUAUGUCAUGUAGCGGUGAAAUGCUUAGAUAUGACAUAGAACACCAAUUGCGAAGGCAGCUUAUUACAUAGUUUAUUGACACUGAGGCACGAAAGCGUGGGGAUCAAACAGG
rnacentral:rRNA from 1 species